CCCCCCGCCGAGCCUGGCCGCGGGAGCGUAACGAAAUUUCCCAAGCGGUCAGACUAGCUGGGCGACUUCAGGACAAUGAGCCUUUAUGUUUCAAGGUUCCUGCCCCACAGAGAUAAGAAUUCGAAGUAGAGGCAUCCAUAUGCAGUGAACAAACAGGGAAAAGCAGUAGAAGAUUGCCCAAGUGCCAAGUUGGCCUCUGCACCUACAUUGGAGACCUGGGAAAAGCUCCUGGCUCCUGGCUUUGGAUUGGCUCAGCUCCGGCUGUUUGUGGCCAUUUGCUCCCUGCUAUGCUGCACCCUGAGAGGAAGCCGUUGAUGGCUCAACUACCUGUGUCCCUGCCACCCGUAUGGGAGACCUGAUUAAGCUGUUGGCUUCUGGCUUUGACCUGACCUGGUCCUUGGUUGUUUUGGGCAUCUGAGGAGUGAACCACUGGAUGGAAGCUCUCUCUCUCUCUCCCACUCCCUUGUCUUUCAAAUAAAAUGAAAGUAAUGAAU